AUUGAACGCUGGCGGCAUGCUUUACACAUGCAAGUCGAACGGUAACAGGCCGCAAGGUGCUGACGAGUGGCGAACGGGUGAGUAAUGCAUCGGAACGUGCCCAGUCGUGGGGGAUAACGCAGCGAAAGUUGCGCUAAUACCGCAUACGAUCUAUGGAUGAAAGCGGGGGACCGUAAGGCCUCGCGCGAUUGGAGCGGCCGAUGUCAGAUUAGGUAGUUGGUGGGGUAAAGGCUCACCAAGCCGACGAUCUGUAGCUGGUCUGAGAGGACGACCAGCCACACUGGGACUGAGACACGGCCCAGACUCCUACGGGAGGCAGCAGUGGGGAAUUUUGGACAAUGGGCGCAAGCCUGAUCCAGCAAUGCCGCGUGCAGGAAGAAGGCCUUCGGGUUGUAAACUGCUUUUGUACGGAACGAAACGGUCCUGGUUAAUACCCGGGGCUAAUGACGGUACCGUAAGAAUAAGCACCGGCUAACUACGUGCCAGCCGCCGCAGUAAUAC
rnacentral:rRNA from 1 species